CCUACGGGAGGCAGCAGUGGGGAAUAUUGGUCAAUGGGCGCAAGCCUGACCCAGCAACGCCGCGUGAAGGAAGAAGGCUUUCGGGUUGUCAACUUCUUUUAAGAGGGGAGAGCAGAAGACGGUACCUCUUGAAUAAGCCACGGCUAACUACGUUCCAGCAGCCGCGGUAAUAAGGAGGUGGCAAGCGUUUUCCGGAUUUACUGGGGGUAAAGGGCGUGCAGCGGGGAAGACAAGUCAGAUGUGAAAUCCCGCGGCGCAACCGCGGAACUGCAGUUGAAACUGUUUUUCUUGAGUAGCGGAGAGGUAAGCGGAAUGCCUGGUGUAGCGGUGAAAUGCGUAGAUAUAAGGAAGAACACCAGUGGCGAAGGCGGAUGACCGGACGGCAACUGACGGUGAGGCGCGAAAGCGUGGGGAGCAAACAGGAUUAGAUACCCGAGUAGUC
rnacentral:rRNA from 1 species